GAUGAACGCUGGCGGCGUGCCUAAUACAUGCAAGUCGAGCGAACAGAUGAGGAGCUUGCUCCUCUGACGUUAGCGGCGGACGGGUGAGUAACACGUGGAUAACCUACCUAUAAGACUGGGAUAACUUCGGGAAACCGGAGCUAAUACCGGAUAAUAUAUUGAACCGCAUGGUUCAAUAGUGAAAGACGGUUUUGCUGUCACUUAUAGAUGGAUCCGCGCCGCAUUAGCUAGUUGGUAAGGUAACGGCUUACCAAGGCGACGAUGCGUAGCCGACCUGAGAGGGUGAUCGGCCACACUGGAACUGAGACACGGUCCAGACUCCUACGGGAGGCAGCAGUAGGGAAUCUUCCGCAAUGGGCGAAAGCCUGACGGAGCAACGCCGCGUGAGUGAUGAAGGUCUUCGGAUCGUAAAACUCUGUUAUUAGGGAAGAACAAAUGUGUAAGUAACUAUGCACGUCUUGACGGUACCUAAUCAGAAAGCCACGGCUAACGACG
rnacentral:rRNA from 1 species